rnacentral:rRNA from 1 species
UACGGAGGGUGCAAGCGUUGCUCGGAAUUAUUGGGCGUAAAGGGUAGGUAGGUGGUCUCAUUUGUCUGAGGUGAAAGCCUUGAGCUUAACUCAAGAAGUGCCUCAGAAACGGUGGAGACUCGAGUUCUGGAGGGGGUCGUGGAAUUCCCGGUGUAGCGGUGAAAUGCGUAGAGAUCGGGAGGAACACCAGAGGCGAAGGCGGCGACCUGGACAGACACUGACACUCAACUACGAAAGCGUGGGGAGCAAACAGG